rnacentral:rRNA from 1 species
UAUGUAGGGGGCAAGCGUUGUCCGGAAUCAUUGGGCGUAAAGAGCGCGUAGGCGGCCCAGUAAGUCCGCUCUGAAAGUCAGGGGCUCAACCCCUGGAUGCGGGUGGAUACUGCUGGGCUAGAGUCCGGAAGAGGUCAGUGGAACUGCGAGUGUAGAGGUGAAAUUCGUAGAUAUUCGCAAGAACACCAGUGGCGAAGGCGGCUGACUGGUCCGGUUCUGACGCUGAGGCGCGAAAGCGUGGGGAGCAAACAGG